rnacentral:rRNA from 1 species
UACGUAGGGGGCCAGCGUUGUCCGGAUUUAUUGGGCGUAAAGAGCGUGUAGGCGGCUUUACAGGUCCGUUGUGAAAACUCGAGGCUCAACCUCGAGACGCCGGUGGAAACCGUAAAGCUAGAGUCCGGAAGAGGAGAGUGGAAUUCCUGGUGUAGCGGUGAAAUGCGCAGAUAUCAGGAGGAACACCUAUGGCGAAGGCAGCUCGCUGGGACGUUACUGACGCUGAGACGCGAAAGCGUGGGGAGCAAACAGG